ACGCCCAAAACAGAGAGGAAGAUCGAGAGAGUCGGAGAGAAGGGAUCCGCCGUGGCCGAUGAGUGCCCCAUCGUUGCGGAGUUUUGAGAGAGCAUCGAGGACUUCGUCAUGACACACCGUUCAUGCGCCAGGUCUACACAAGUUCGAACAUCAAUUGGUGUGCGCGUAAUUGCUCACCGGCGACAUGGUGAUGCCGCGGGUCCGCUUCGCACCAUGGAGCUUCGCCUGUGAUGCCAUUCCGGGCAUAUGGAAUGGCUGGGGAGCUUCGGGGAGCCUCCUCGUUGCUGAUCGGGGACGCUCCAGGGAAGAUUGGUGGCCGGAGCACCUUGAAUUGUUCACCGCCACUGGUGCUCCACCAUGGAUCAUCCCACUCGCGUGGGCAGCCUCAUCGGCACCUCCAUCUCCG
rnacentral:lncRNA from 7 species